ensembl:lncRNA novel transcript
GGCACACAGCUAGACUACAUUUCCCAGGACCUCAUAUGGUGCCACCAAGACAGAGCUGACUGUAUCACCCAAUGCCAAGCCCUCAGCGUCACUGUCAAGUCACAUUGGUUACCUGAGCCAAUAAUCUCAUGGAACUCAAUUUCUGAGAGCUGAAGAUGGAAAUGUGAAGGCAAUCCAGCUCUUAGGAGGAGAAUAUCUGCCUUCUCUGCAAAGAGAAAUUGUCAUUUUAUUUUUUAAGGGUGAUUUUGUCACUGGGAAUGGCUGCCCACCCAGUGACAUUUUCCUAUGUACCUUGCAUCCAACUGUGGCCUUGCGACAUAUUUUCAUGAAGGGAAUAUGAGCAAAAGUGAAGUAACUUCCAGGUCUGUGCCUUAAGAAACAGUUCCCUGGUCUGGAUACCUAUCUGUAGACUCCUCCAAUCAACACAUCAUAUGAGACUCUGACUUCAGAGCUGAUGACGUAAAAUGCAGGGCCUAAUCUAUCUUGGCAAUGUGGCAGUGGUGGCAGUAGCUCCAUCCAAUUUCCCAUGGUAGCAAUUCCAGCCACAGAUUCAAUGCCCUGCAUUGUUGGCAUCAGAAGCACAACAGUUUAUGUGUGCCUAGCAAGGGUGGCAGUGCAUCUUCACAGGACCACAUUUGGGCAUGAUUCUGGAUGUUGUUCCUCACUGUGAGAAUUUCAAACAUGGCUUUCUACUCUGUUCUGAGGAAGAAGAUUCUGUGUGCUACAUAAUAUCCUUUAAUCUACUCCUUUUAUGCCUAAAUUAGCAAGAGUUAGUUUCUAAUACUUGAAAG